CCAUUGGUGAUUGGUGUCAUGUGUCUGUUUAGGAUUUCCCAUCAUUCUAAUGUCUCCAUUAGGAAAACCGUCCUCUGCCUUCUCUCUUCCUGGUCACCAGUGUGUUCUUUUUUGUCAGCACAUUGGAUGGAAAAGCAAUUGCUUCCCACCUGUUCCAGGGCAGACACUGAAUGCAGUCCAGGACUGCUGUUAGCUCUGGAGGUCCUCAGGCCCCAGCAGUGGUGUGAGAUAGAGCUGCUUCCUAUGUUUGGAGGCUGGAGAAGUGGGUGACUGGUUUCCUAAGGCCAGGCUCGGUUCUGACACCUGCUUCUCAGUGACAUAGAUGCUGAUGGUCCCUGCAAGGAAAAGAGUUAGAAUAGAGGAGAGCCCUAAAAUGCAUCUUCCCAACUAAGUCCUGUUACCUACAAGCCAAUCCCCAGCCAAAGAAGGUGUGCUUGAUUCAUUUCCAUGGAGUCACUAGUGAGAGACACUUUGAUGACCCGAUGGGCAGGAUGGGAGACGGCUGCCAACCCUCCUGGUCCUUCCUUUGCUCCUGGGGCCCUUUCAUUGUCCUCGUUUACACAUCUGCCAAGGGGUGGAGUAGUACUUCGUUUUACAGGUAAAUUUCAAGGCACAAUCAGUUUUUAGGGAAGUGCUUCAAGACCUUGGCGACAUGACAGUGCUAAAUUCCCGCUGAAUUUGGUCUCUGUUGCCAGGUGCUCUUUACCGAAUGAGCGCUCGCAGGGUGAAAUUCAGGCAUAAUUUGCCCAGGCCUGCUGUCUUGAGUACAAAUGUGAAUGAUGGGACUGACUGCUUGCUGCCAAACUGGAAAUGUUUUGUGGGGAUUUACUGGCAUGGUAUCAUUCCUAGGAAAAAGAAGAAAAAAAGAAAAAGAAAAAAAAGGAUAGGAGAGUGAGAAAACUUGACUGCACAUUUUUUUAAAAAUCCAUGUUGUGACUUUUAUUUAAUUUCUAUAUUUUUUGGUAAUAAAAAGUUGACUUUAAUUUGAAUUUGUCUUUUUUAUUUAUUGGUCUAAAAGGCAUUUCAAAGGUAUUAUAAUAAUAUAUUGGUGUAAUUUAAUUGGUGCAGCAUGGCUUUAUGGCUCCAGUCAAAUCUGUUUCUCACGUAUUUGACUGGUUUGCGAACAGCCUGCAGGGAGAGGAAAAGAAAAGCUGGCUAAUCCCCCAAAGUGUUCAUUUUUCAUUGGAAUCUGAGUUUUGUCAUUUUUGUUUCUGUUUUUAUUUUUAAAUUAAAUAAAAUGCAAU
rnacentral:lncRNA from 1 species